GUCCUAGCCGUAAACGAUGACCACUAGGUGUGGGAGGUAUCGACCCCUUCCGUGCCGUCGCAAACGCAGUAAGUGGUCCGCCUGGGGAGUACGGUCGCAAGAUUAAAAACUCAAAAGGAAUUGACGGGGACCCGCACAAGCAGCGGAGCGUGUGGUUUAAUUCGAUGCAACGCGAAGAACCUUACCAAGUCUUGACAUGCAGAUGCACCAGCGGUAAUGCGCUGUCCCUUCGGGGCGUUUGCACAGGUGCUGCAUGGCUGUCGU
rnacentral:rRNA from 1 species